CCUACGGGUGGCAGCAGUGAGGAAUAUUGGUCAAUGGGAGAGAUCCUGAACCAGCCAAGCCGCGUGAGGGAAGACGGCCCUAUGGGUUGUAAACCUCUUUUGUCGGAGAACAAAACCCGGGACGUGUCCCGGACUGCGUGUAUCCGAAGAAAAAGCAUCGGCAAACUCCGUGCCAUCAGCCGCGGUAAUACGGAGGAUGCGAGCGUUAUCCGGAUUUAUUGGGUUUAACGGGUGCGUAGGCGGGCCGUUAAGUCAGCGGGAAAACUGCGGGGCUAAGCCCCGUCGAGCCGUUGAAACUGGCAGACUUGAGUUGGCGAGAAGGACGCAGAAUGCGCGGUGUAGCGGUGAAAUGCAUAGAGAUCGCGCAGAACUCCGAUGGCGAAGGCAGCGUACCGGCGGCAGACUGACGCUGAGGCACGAAAGCGUGGGGAUCGAACAGGAUUAGAUACCCUUGUAGUC
rnacentral:rRNA from 1 species